ensembl:snoRNA SNORD58 Small nucleolar RNA SNORD58
CUGUGAUGAUGACCACUUAGGACACCUUUGGAUGAACCAUGAAAACAUCUGAAUAAAGCUGAGCAGU